rnacentral:rRNA from 1 species
UUAGAUACCCUGGUAGUCCACGCAGUAAACGAUGAUCACUAGCUGUUUGCGAUACACUGUAAGCGGCACAGCGAAAGCGUUAAGUGAUCCACCUGGGGAGUACGCCGGCAACGGUGAAACUCAAAGGAAUUGACGGGGGCCCGCACAAGCGGAGGAACAUGUGGUUUAAUUCGAUGAUACGCGAGGAACCUUACCCGGGUUUGAACGCAUUCGGACCGAGGUGGAAACACCUCUUCUAGCAAUAGCCGUUUGCGAGGUGCUGCAUGGUUGUCGUCAGCUCGUGCCGUGAGGUGUCGGCUUAAGUGCCAUAACGAGCGCAACCCUUGCCACUAGUUACUAACAGGUUAGGCUGAGGACUCUGGUGGGACUGCCAGCGUAAGCUGCGAGGAAGGCGGGGAUGACGUCAAAUCAGCACGGCCCUUACAUCCGGGGCGACACACGUGUUACAAUGGCGUGGACAAAGGGAAGCCACCUGGCGACAGGGAGCGA